rnacentral:lncRNA from 1 species
GGGCUCAGGCCCACCCCGAACCCAGGGCAGGAAGGUCAUGUGACUUAAGGUCUUAACACGCUCCUCCGUGGCUCCCGUGUGCACAGCACCGAAUUCUACACACCGCCGUCCCCGUGGGUCUUGUUCAGACGCCGAGGGCUGCCCCAGGUGCGCACAGGCGUUACCUGCGGGGUCAGGCCCCAGCCCGGGAGAAGGUGCUGCCUGAAAAGGGCUGGGUCUAUUUCAUCAGGGAUUGGUUACUUUAGCUGUCCGAUCAGGCGCGCAGCCGGGGCAAGGGCGGGCUUCCGCAGUCUCGCGCUUUCCUGGCUGGGCCACAUGGGUCCUUCUUCCUCACGUCGCGGGUCUUGGGCACGGAUUCUGGGCGACUCUGCGUAGCCAGAGAGCCUCACGAGCUCGGGUGGCCGAAGUUCCUUCGUGAGGACGGCGGGUGACCCCGGAGACCCAAACGGAGAGUGUGUGGCCAGGGCUGGCGGGACCCGACGGGCGGAAAUGAGUUGGCUGAGAGUUAAAGUGUGAGGAGGCCUUGGCAUACAUCCCCGACCUCUUCCCCAAGAUGGAUGCCUGUAUCCCUCCUUUCCACUCAGAAUCCAUCUCCAGGACUGUGUCUUCUCUGCUGUGUGAGGCCCAAGUGGCUCUGGCUCAGGUCUGUCUCCCUGUGACCUGCAGGUGCUAUGAGGUCCACAGGAAGGAUGUUGGGACUCCGCAGAAGGCAAGAAAUGGUGAGUGUGUGGGGCCAGGACUGCUCAGGGAGGUGGGAUGGUUAG